UAGAUCACUAGUGAGAAUGAUGACAUGAGUAGCGACAAACAGGGUGAGAGACCCUGUCGCCGAAAGUCCAAGGGUUCCUGCUUAAAGCUAAUCUGAGCAGGGUAAGCCGACCCCUAAGGCGAGGCCGAAAGGCGUAGUCGAUGGGAACCAGGUUAAUAUUCCUGGGCCAGGAGGAUGUGACGGAUCCCGAGGGUAGUUUCUUCUUAUCGGAUUGAAGAGGCUGCUUAGGGGUUCCUGGAAAUAGCCCUCCAUUAGAUCGUACCCUAAACCGACACAGGUGGACUGGUAGAGAAUACCAAGGCGCUUGAGAGAACUAUGUUGAAGGAACUCGGCAAAAUACCUCCGUAAGUUCGCGAGAAGGAGGCCCGGUUUCUACGCAAGUAUUGACUGGGGGCACAAACUAGGGGGUGGCGACUGUUUACUAAAAACACAGGGCUCUGCGAAGUCGCAAGACGACGUAUAGGGUCUGACGCCUGCCCGGUGCUGGAAGGUUAAAGGGAGGGGUGCAAGCUCUGAACUGAAGCCCCAGUAAACGGCGGCCGUAACUAUAACGGUCCUAAGGUAGCGAAAUUCCUUGUCGGGUAAGUUCCGACCUGCACGAAUGGCGUAACGACUUCCCCGCUGUCUCCAACAUAGACUCAGCGAAAUUGAAUUGCCUGUCAAGAUGCAGGCUUCCCGCGGUUAGACGGAAAGACCCCGUGCACCUUUACUACAGCUUCACACUGGCAUUAGGCCGAACAUGUGCAGGAUAGGUGGUGGGCUUUGAAGCAGGAACGCUAGUUUCUGUGGAGCCUCCCUUGAGAUACCACCCUUGUUCUGCUUGAUGUCUAACCGCGGUCCGUUAUCCGGAUCCGGGACCCUGUGUGGCGGGUAGUUUGACUGGGGCGGUCGCCUCCUAAAGCGUAACGGAGGCGCGCGAAGGUUGGCUCAGAGCGGUCGGAAAUCGCUCGUUGAGUGCAAUGGCAGAAGCCAGCCUGACUGCGAGACUGACAAGUCGAGCAGAGUCGAAAGACGGCCAUAGUGAUCCGGUGGUCCCAAGUGGGAGGGCCAUCGCUCAACGGAUAAAAGGUACGCCGGGGAUAACAGGCUGAUACUGCCCAAGAGUCCAUAUCGACGGCAGUGUUUGGCACCUCGAUGUCGGCUCAUCUCAUCCUGGGGCUGGAGCAGGUCCCAAGGGUACGGCUGUUCGCCGUUUAAAGAGGUACGUGAGCUGGGUUUAGAACGUCGUGAGACAGUUCGGUCCCUAUCUGCCGUGGGUGUAGGAUACUUGAGAGGAGUUGCCCCUAGUACGAGAGGACCGGGGUGAACGAACCACUGGUGGACCAGUUGUCGUGCCAACGGCAGUGCUGGGUAGCUAUGUUCGGACAGGAUAACCGCUGAAGGCAUCUAAGCGGGAAGCCCCCCUCAAAACAAGGUAUCCCUGAGAGCCGUGGUAGACCACCACGUCGAUAGGCCAGAGAUAUAAGCGCAGCAAUGCGUUCAGUUGACUGGUACUAAUCGCUC
rnacentral:rRNA from 1 species